AUGUGUGUGCAUCAUUUAAUUUAUGACAGUGGCCAAUGUGUUGAUUUUACAGAGAAAAAUAUAAGUGUAUUUUUGUCUUCAGGUUGCCUGCUGACCUCUGGUGACUCCAUGAAUUUCAUAGAUUAUUCUUCCUCUUCUUCCUCCUCCUCUUUGGCAAGGAAAAUUCAGAGGUGGUGUGCCAUGAUGUUCCUGAAGCAUCUGGUUUCAUGACACUUUCAUUGACUGGACAAUGCCUGCAGAGGACCAUAUUCUGAAGGUGGGACAUGAUGGUCCUUUUUGGACUAGUAGAAAGAGGAACAUCUCUCAUAGUAUCACCCAGUAAAAAUGAUUGGCGGCAGAUCUAGGACAGACAGAAUGAAGAAUGGCGUCAUCCUGUGGGCAGCUUUGGACAAAACUAUAAGCCAGAAUUGCUGAGAGUUCAAGUGUAUCAUGAAACAGUAUGCUGGAGUGCAGCAUCUUCCACUGAAGCUGAGAAGAGCCUAUCAACUAAGGAGGACACAGGUCUGGUGACAUGGCAUAUCGCAUACAGAUUUGUUCUCCAACAACCUUGGUGCUCUUUUCCUCUCUCCAGCACUUCCCAUUUGAGGUGGACACCUCACUGUGCCUACUGGUAGAGCCGGCCCUGACUGCAUAUGGAUCCCAGUAUAAUGCAGGUAGAUGUGAUAUAUGUAUGUGUACUUGUUGUUUGUCUCUGUCCUUUUUCCACUAGGGACCUCAUUCAUAGCUUGGAAAAGUGACUUUUUCUUUGUUUGACAAAUUCCACAAUCUCUCAGUCAGCAGGGCUUCUGAGUGCUAUAGUCCCCCAAAGUUUUUUUUUCAAGCUCUCAUCUCAGAUCUACUGAUACAACCUUUCAAGCAAUUCCUAGAGUUGGACUUACCUGGGCAACUCCUGUGAUUAACAUCCACACUUCUAGCCACAUGUUGGAUGGUCCACCAAAACUGAUGGCUAUGUAAAGCAGUCCCUAUGCUUAGGCAUAGCUUCUGUCCAAUCCUGCAUUUACAAGAAAGUGGGCUCUAAUGUAACAAACACAUCCUCAAAGGCAUCUCCUGCCAUUGCUCGCUCUUCUGAAUGAUCCACGAUGAACAAAUAUAGGGAGGAAACAAAACCAACGCAUAGCCUUUAAAACAUCCUAUAAAAUAAAAUAAUAAAAUAAUAAAAGAAAACACUGUCUGUGCGUAUUCCGGGAAGGGAGGAGCUCUAGUAAAGCUUUUUUUUUUUUUUUAAAACCUUUGAAAUACUCACGGCGCUUCCCAAAGGUUAGAAAGGUAACAUUUAUGGACUACAACUCCUAGAAAUCUCCAGCUUGGUAUCUGGGGGAUUCUGGGAAUUGCAACCCAAAAGGCUCUUAUUCCUAUGUUCUGGUUACCCGCUUAGCCACGCCACCUUGAGAACUGAACUAGAAGGAGCCCACAGCCUCCUGUAUUGCAGUUUCCUCUGACUGACAAGAGGCUGGCACUCUUGUCUCCCAAUGAAAAGACAUUGGAGGAGGGACUUGAUGGGAAGGUGCUUACAUUGUCUAUCUGCCUCCUCUGAGAGGCUGGUUAGGAGAACCAAAUGGUUGUCCUCUUUCAUAACAAAAGAACUUUGAGCGUGAUCAAAGUUUCGAGCUGACAACAUCAAUGCAAGAAUUGUCCAUAAAAAUGCAUGAAUCUCACUUGGAAACAUAGCUAUAGCUCCACAAUGUCACUAGAAAGAAAAUCUUCACCUCAGCAUUUGCCCUGAUCUGGGAAUUAUAAAACAGCACUCCACAAAAUAUUAUUGUUAUUAUUAUUGUUAUUUGUUUGCUUGUUUGUUUGUUUUUGUUUUUUUGCUACUCCAUUAUUGGCUGGCAACAUGGUGAAAUAGUCUGGAAAUCCUCCUUGAUUUCUGUAGCUCUGGAAGAGAAUCCAAUGUUAACAAAGAAAAGAAAUUAGAUACUUAACUGAAGAGAUUUUGUUUUGUUUUCCUCAUAAACACAUAUGUUGGGCAAAAUGUCUACUGGAAAGCCCUCUGACUUCCGUCAUUGGCUGCAACAUGGCAAAAACUGAGUUGAUCAACACGUGGUCCUCUGCCAUGUACGUAACUCAUUUUCGCCAAAGCAAAAAGUUUCGUAGUUCCACAAUAAGAUACUAUGGGUUGAGAUCUUUGUUUUUUUAAAAAAUGAAAAUCUUCAAUGGACACAUACACACAAAAAUAGGAGCUGGAUUGUUUGGUCCCAGGUCUUAAAAGUCUGUUAGAAAAUGUACAUUCAAUGUUUUGGUCUUUCAUGUCUUGAUAAAAGAUCAAGGUUCACUUAUGGGUUAAGGAAUCCAAGUAAACAAGCACUGGACAACUGCUUAACCUUGACUUUCUUUCCUCCCUCCUCACCACAGUAUGUGUUGAGAGGGUCAUUGUAGACACUAAUGCAAAGCACUUAGUAUGUAAGUAAUUUCAGAGACUCUUUAUAAGCCCUAGGAAAUGGGUUCUGUGUGUCUGUGUGUGUAGCUGUGUCUCUCUUUUCCUUUUAAAAGCCCAUGUUUUUAAGGCCACAAAAAUCUGCUAAAAGUUUUAUUUUGUAUGUGUGUGUUGGAAAGAGCAUAAUUCAUCUGUCAUUUCUAUUUCCCCACAUUUCCCCUAAAAAUGAGCCAUUACUUUCACUGUGUCUAUCAACACUGGAGAACCCAGAGGCUUAGCCUCCCCUCCCUAUUGACCUGAAGCUGUCGAGAUCCG
rnacentral:lncRNA from 1 species